GGUUUUUUGGUAUAAUAUGAAAAAUCUAACCUGCCCCAUGAUGAAUUAAAUGGCCGCGGUAAUUUGACCGUGCGAAGGUAGCAUAAUCAAUUGUCUAUUAAUUGUAGACUGGAAUGAAUGGUUGAACUGGGAYUAAUUGUCUCCAUGGAAAAAAUGAAUUUUGGAUUUUUAUGAAGAUUUAAAAAUGGGUUUAUUAGACGAGAAGACCCUAUUGAGCUUUAUAUUACAGUUUAUAUUAAUGAUUAGAGGAGCUUAUAAACUAAUAUAUUUUGCUGGGGCGGCAAGUAGUUAAAAAAACGUUACUAUAAUUGAAUAUUUUAUUGAAGAUUUCUGAUCCAAUAAUAUUGAUUAUUAGACUAAGUUACUGUAGGGAUAACAGCGUAAUACAAUCUAGGAGUUCCCAUCUAUGAUGAAGAUUGCGACCUCGAUGUUGGUUUAGGAUUCCUUUAAGAAAAUAAAAUAUAUGGUGAAGAAACUAUAAAAGGUAGUCUGUUCGACUAUUGAAUUCCUAUA
rnacentral:rRNA from 1 species